GAAUUUAAAAUAUGAACAGAUUUAUCAAGGUCAUAAUUACGGCUAUAGAAUCUCGCCCAUCGUGCGGAGUAUGUUCGUUUGUUUUUAUUUUCUCGCCUAGCUUAUGCUAUCCAUAGGUUCCCUGAUCAAUCGCGUUUAAUUGUUAUAAAUUAAUUGAUUGCAAACAUGUUUCGUCUGUCCGUUUCCACGAUUGCUUGUCAGAAUCACCACGGA